GCCGGGCGCAGUGGUGGGCGCCUGUAGUCCCAGCUACUUGGGAGGCUGAGGUAGGAGAAUGGCGUGAACCCGGGAGGCGGAGCUUGCAGUGAGCCCGGCUCACUGCAAGCUCUGCCUCCCGGGUUCAUGCCAUUCUCCUGCCUCAG
rnacentral:SRP_RNA from 1 species